GGAUUAGAUACCCUGGUAGUUCAUGCCGUAAACGAUGUUUAAUAGCCGUUGGGGCCUUUGAGGCUUUAGUGGCGCAGCUAACGCGAUAAGUAGACCGCCUGGGGAGUACGGUCGCAAGACUAAAACUCAAAUGAAUUGACGGGGGCCCGCACAAGCGGUGGAGCAUGUGGUUUAAUUCGAUGCAACGCGAAGAACCUUACCUGGCCUUGACAUAGUAAGAACUUUCCAGAGAUGGAUUGGUGCCUUUGGGAACUUACAUACAGGUGCUGCAUGGCUGUUGUCAGCUCGUGUCGUGAGAUGUUGGGUUAAGUCCCGCAACGAGCGCAACCCUUUUCCUUAUUUGCCAGCGAGUAAUGUCGGGAACUUUAAGGAUACUGCCAGUGACAAACUGGAGGAAGGCGGGGACGACGUCAAGUCAUCAUGGCCCUUACGGCCAGGGCUACACACGUGCUACAAUGGUCGGUACAAAGGGUUGCUACCUAGCGAUAGGAUGCUAAUCUCAAAAAGCCGAUCGUAGUCCGGAUUGGAGUCUGCAACUCGACUCCAUGAAGUCGGAAUCGCUAGUAAUCGCGGAUCAGAAUGCCGCGGUGAAUACGUUCCCGGGCCUUGUACACACCGCCCGUCACACCAUGGGAGUUUGUUGCACCAGAAGUAGCUAGCCUAA
rnacentral:rRNA from 1 species